CGGGAGGCAGCAGUAGGGAAUCUUCCGCAAUGGGCGAAAGCCUGACGGAGCGACGCCACGUGGAUGACGAAGGCCUUCGGGUCGUAAAAUCCUGUCAGGGGGGACGAUGGUCGAUCUUCGGAUUGACUGACGGUACCCUCAGAGGAAGCUCCGGCCAACUACGUGCCAGCAGCCGCGGUAAUACGUAGGGAGCAAGCGUUAUUCGGAUUUACUGGGCGUAAAAGAGUGCGUAGGCGGUUAUAUAAGUCAAUGGUGAAAUCUCCACUUUCAAGGUGGAAACUGCCUUUGAUACUGUAUGACUAGAGGGCAAGAGGGGGAAAAUGGAACUCUGGGAGUAGCGGUGAAAAUGCGUAGAUAUCCAGAGGAACGCCGGUAGCGAAAGGCGAUUUCCUGGCUUGCAUCUGACGCUGAGGCACUAAAGCUAGGGUAGCGAUCGGGAUUAGAUACC
rnacentral:rRNA from 1 species